GUCUGAAUAGCUCAGACAGUAGAGCAUGAGGCCCUUAAUCUCAGGGUCGUGAGUCUGAGUCCCACAUGGGGCA